CAGCAGCCACGGUAAUACGGAGGAUCCAAGCGUUAUCCGGAAUCAUUGGGUUUAAAGGGUCCGUAGGCGGUCUUGUAAGUCAGUGGUGAAAGCCCAUCGCUCAACGGUGGAACGGCCAUUGAUACUGCAGGACUUGAAUUAUUGGGAAGUAACUAGAAUAUGUAGUGUAGCGGUGAAAUGCUUAGAGAUUACAUGGAAUACCAAUUGCGAAGGCAGGUUACUACCAAUUGAUUGACGCUGAUGGACGAAAGCGUGGGUAGCGAACAGGAUUAGAUACCCCGGUAGUCCCUGUCUCUUAUAC
rnacentral:rRNA from 1 species